GGUUCAUUCAAAUUUCUGCCCUAUCAACUUUCGAUGGUAGGAUAGUGGCCUACCAUGGUUUCAACGGGUAACGGGGAAUUAGGGCUCUAUUCCGGAGAGGGAGCCUGAGAAACGGCUACCACAUCCAAGGAAGGCAGCAGGCGCGCAAAUUACCCAAUCCCGACCGGGGAGGUAGUGACAAUAAAUACUGAUACAGGGCUCUUUAGGGUCUUGUAAUUGGAAUGAGUACAAUUUAAAUCCCUCAACGAGGAACAAUUGGAGGGCAAGUCUGGUGCCAGCAGCCGCGGUAAUUCCAGCUCCAAUAGCGUAUAUUAAAGUUGUUGCAGUUAAAAAGCUCGUAGUUG
rnacentral:rRNA from 1 species